ACAUGCCUACAACAUAGUGUCAAUGCAUCAGAUCUCAUUAGAACUUCGUAGUUAAGCGCGCUCAGCCUAGAGUAGUACUGGGAUGGGUGACCGCUUGGGAAGUCCUAGUGUUUUACAUGCC
rfam:Picea glauca, whole genome shotgun sequence.